CUCCGGUACACGCACAGUGCACAUCAAUGAGCUUGCAACUCACUAUGAACUUCACUACAGAGCCGAU
rnacentral:tRNA from 1 species